GUCCCUUCGACAUUCGAUAAAAUUGAAACGAUGUAGAGAAAAUUAACACGCACACUUUGCAAGAAUGACACGAACAAAUCGAGAAGAAAAAAAAGAUGGA
rnacentral:sRNA from 1 species